GAUGAACGCUGGCGGCGUGCUUAACACAUGCAAGUCGAACGGAGUGCUCAUGACGGAGGAUUCGUCCAACGGAUUGAGUUACUUAGUGGCGGACGGGUGAGUAACGCGUGAGGAACCUGCCUCGGAGUGGGGAAUAACAGCCCGAAAGGGUUGCUAAUACCGCAUGAUGCAGCUGGGUCGCAUGACCCUGGUUGCCAAAGAUUUAUCGCUCUGAGAUGGCCUCGCGUCUGAUUAGCUAGUAGGCGGGGUAACGGCCCACCAAGGCGACGAUCAGUAGCCGGCCUGAGAGGGUGAACGGCCACAUUGGGACUGAGACACGGCCCAG
rnacentral:rRNA from 1 species